rnacentral:tRNA from 1 species
GCGGGAUUAGCUCAGUUGGUACGAGCAGCGCUUUUACACAGCGAAGGCCGCAGGUUCGACCCCUGCAUCCCGCACCA